rnacentral:rRNA from 1 species
CAUGCAGUCGAGCGGAACGAGUUAUCUGAACCUUCGGGGAACGAUAACGGCGUCGAGCGGCGGACGGGUGAGUAAUGCCUAGGAAAUUGCCCUGAUGUGGGGGAUAACCAUUGGAAACGAUGGCUAAUACCGCAUAAUGCCUACGGGCCAAAGAGGGGGACCUUCGGGCCUCUCGCGUCAGGAUAUGCCUAGGUGGGAUUAGCUAGUUGGUGAGGUAAUGGCUCACCAAGGCGACGAUCCCUAGCUGGUCUGAGAGGAUGAUCAGCCACACUGGAACUGAGACACGGUCCAGACUCCUACGGGAGGCAGCAGUGGGGAAUAUUGCACAAUGGGCGCAAGCCUGAUGCAGCCAUGCCGCGUGUGUGAAGAAGGCCUUCGGGUUGUAAAGCACUUUCAGUCGUGAGGAAGGUGGURUWGUUAAUAGCWGYAUCAUUUGACGUUAGCGACAGAAGAAGCACCGGCUAACUCCGUGCCAGCAGCCGCGGUAAUACGGAGGGUGCGAGCGUUAAUCGGAAUUACUGGGCGUAAAGCGCAUGCAGGUGGUUUGUUAAGUCAGAUGUGAAAGCCCGGGGCUCAACCUCGGAAUAGCAUUUGAAACUGGCAGACUAGAGUACUGUAGAGGGGGGUAGAAUUUCAGGUGUAGCGGUGAAAUGCGUAGAGAUCUGAAGGAAUACCGGUGGCGAAGGCGGCCCCCUGGACAGAUACUGACACUCAGAUGCGAAAGCGUGGGAGCAAACAGAUAAACAGGAUUAGAUACCCUGGUAGUCCACGCCGUAAACGAUGUCUACUUGGAGGUUGUGGCCUUGAGCCGUGGCUUUCGGAGCUAACGCGUUAAGUAGACCGCCUGGGGAGUACGGUCGCAAGAUUAAAACUCAAAUGAAUUGACGGGGGCCCGCACAAGCGGUGGAGCAUGUGGUUUAAUUCGAUGCAACGCGAAGAACCUUACCUACUCUUGACAUCCAGAGAACUUUCCAGAGAUGGAUUGGUGCCUUCGGGAACUCUGAGACAGGUGCUGCAUGGCUGUCGUCAGCUCGUGUUGUGAAAUGUUGGGUUAAGUCCCGCAACGAGCGCAACCCUUAUCCUUGUUUGCCAGCGAGUAAUGUCGGGAACUCCAGGGAGACUGCCGGUGAUAAACCGGAGGAAGGUGG